rnacentral:rRNA from 1 species
UACGAAGGGGGCUAGCGUUGCUCGGAAUCACUUGGCGUAAAGGGUGCGUAGGCGGGUCUUUAAGUCAGGGGGGAAAUCCUGGAGCUCAACUCCAGAACUGCCUUUGAUACUGAAGAUCUUGAGUUCGGGAGAGGUGAGUGGAACUGCGAGUGUAGAGGUGAAAUUCGUAGAUAUUCGCAAGAACACCAGUGGCGAAGGCGGCUCACUGGCCCGAUACUGACGCUGAGGCACGAAAGCGUGGGGGGCAAACAGG